rnacentral:rRNA from 1 species
ACGGGGGGUGCGAGCGUUGUCCGGAAUCACUGGGCGUAAAGGGCGCGUAGGUGGCGUCGUAAGUCUGUGGUGAAAGCCCGGAGCUCAACUCCGGGUCUGCCGCGGAUACUGCGAGGCUUGAGUGCGGCAGAGGGGGGUGGAAUUCCGCGUGUAGCAGUGAAAUGCGUAGAGAUGCGGAGGAACACCGAUGGCGAAGGCAGCCCCCUGGGUCGACACUGACGCUCAGGCACGAAAGCGUGGGGAGCAAACAGGA